UACAGAGGUCUCAAGCGUUGUUCGGAUUCAUUGGGCGUAAAGGGUGCGUAGGCGGCGCGGUAAGUCGGGUGUGAAAUCUCGGAGCUUAACUCCGAAACUGCAUUCGAUACUGCCGUGCUUGAGGACUGGAGAGGAGACUGGAAUUUACGGUGUAGCGGUGAAAUGCGUAGAUAUCGUAAGGAAGGCCAGUGGCGAAGGCGGGUCUCUGGACAGUUCCUGACGCUGAGGCACGAAGGUCAGGGGAGCAAACGGG
rnacentral:rRNA from 1 species